GAUGAACGCUGGCUACAGGCUUAACACAUGCAAGUCGAGGGGAAACGACGGGGAAGCUUGCUUCCCCGGGCGUCGACCGGCGCACGGGUGAGUAACGCGUAUCCAACCUGCCUCUGACUGAGGGAUAACCCGUCGAAAGUCGGCCUAAUACCUCAUGGUAUCGUCUGCGGGCAUCCAACGACGAUUAAAGAUUUCAUCGGUCAGGGAUGGGGAUGCGUCUGAUUAGCUUGUUGGCGGGGUAACGGCCCACCAAGGCUACGGUCAGUAGGGGUUCUGAGAGGAAGGUCCCCCACAUUGGAACUGAGACACGGUCCAAACUCAUACGGGAGGCAGCAGUGAGGAAUAUUGGUAAAUGGGCGAGAGCCUGAACCAGCCAAGUAGCGUGCAGGAAGACGGCCCUAUGGGUUGUAAACUGCUUUUAUGCGGGGAUAAAGUGAGGGACGUGUCCCUCAUUGCAGGUACCGCAUGAAUAAGGACCGGCUAAUUCCGUG
rnacentral:rRNA from 1 species